CUGACACACAGCACAAUGAUCAUGUCACUCAUUCUACUGCUGGGAACACUGGGACUCCUCACUCAGGAAUCAUCAGGGGAAAUAAUUCUGACUCAGUCUCCACAAUCAAAGUCUGUUGUCCCAGGAGAGACCGUCUCUAUCAGCUGUACAACCAGUCAGACUGUCUCCAGCUACCUCCACUGGUACCAGCAGAAACCUGGACAAGCUCCUAAACUCUUGAUUUAUACCACAUCUACCCGUCAGUCUGGAGUUCCAGAUCGUUUUAGUGGGAGUGGGUCUGGCACACAGUAUACGCUGAAAAUCACUGGAGUCCAGACUGAAGAUGCAGGAGAUUAUUACUGUCAGCAGGGUUAUAGCACUCCAUUCACACAGUCUUAG